UACGUAGGGACCGAGCGUUGUCCGGAUUUAUUGGGCGUAAAGAGCUCGUAGGUGGUUCAGCAAGUCGGGUGUGAAAGCUCUGGGCUCAACCCAGAGAUGCCACCCGAUACUGCUGUGACUAGAGUCUGGUAGGGGAUCGCGGAAUUCCAGGUGUAGCGGUGAAAUGCACAGAUAUCUGGAGGAACACCAGCGGCGAAGGCGGCGAUCUGGGCCAGUACUGACACUGAGGAGCGAAAGCGUGGGGAGCGAACAGG
rnacentral:rRNA from 1 species